rnacentral:rRNA from 1 species
GACGAACGCUGGCGGCGUGCUUAACACAUGCAAGUCGAACGGAAAGGCCCUGCUUUUGUGGGGUGCUCGAGUGGCGAACGGGGGAGUAACACGUGAGUAACCUGUCCUUGACUUUGGGAUAACUUCAGGAAACUGGGGCUCAUACCGGAUAGGAUCUCCUGCUGCAUGGUGGGGGUUGGAAAGUUUCGGCGGUUGGGUAUGGACUCGCGGCUUAUCAGCUUGGUGGUGGGGUAGUGGCAUACCAAGGCUUUGACGGGUAGCCGGCCUGAGAGGGUGACCGGACACAUUACGACUGAGAUGCGGCACAGACUAAAAUGGGAGGCAGGAGUGGAGAAUAUUGCCCAACGGGAGGAGGCCUGAUGUAACAAAGCCGCGUGCGGGAAAACGGGAUUCGGGUUGUAAACUGAUUUCGUUUGACCCGAAGCGUGAGUGACGGUAAUGGGUAAAGAAGCACCGGCUAACUACGUG